ACGUCAGUGGGCGUUAACCGGUCAGCUGUUAGCUAGAAUCUGUAAAUUCGUUGUCUCUGAAUGAUUUUAGCAGCAGCUAGCUAUCCUAUCCUGUCACCCUACUGGAUCCAUCAUUAAGAUUAGUUUUCUACAUCCUUGUCAGGCUGACAAUAAAAUCAACUAUAGAAUAUAUGAUUUUGAGUUUGUAUCCACUAUUGUUGUUCAAUGAUAUUCACUGUCCUCCCGGCUCCCGAUAAGUUAAGCUAACUAAAUUUAGCGUGCUAGCUAGCAUGGCGAGUUGCCAUUAACUAGCUAGCUACAAACGUCAGCCAGCAAUGCAAAAUCAGAAUGAUAUGGCAGUAACUACUUCAUUACCAGGCUAUCUAGUUAAAUUACAGGAAACCAGCCAUCAAGUACAUAUAAUUGAGUUGUAUCAUUGUCAACACAAGUUUUUUGUUUUAUUUUUCGUUUUAAAGAACAGGAAAUUGAUGGAGACUACUGGGCCUCACUGAACGGAUGGUUGAAGAACUAUCCCCGUCUAUGAAAUUGCAGGUGAUGUUUGUGAAGGAACUGAACUAGCUCCUAGAACAACAUGAAGUUGGAUUGCCCCUGGACCAUGCUGACAGCAUAGGCAAAAGACUGUCCUGUCUAGACUGUCCUGUGCCAGUGUUGAGAAUGAUGCUUCGACAAAGACCAUGCUCGUCUUCUUUGACCCA